CCUACGGGAGGCAGCAGUGGGGAAUAUUGGACAAUGGGCGGAAGCCUGAUCCAGCCAUGCCGCGUGUGUGAAGAAGGCCUUAUGGUUGUAAAGCACUUUAAGCGAGGAGGAGGCUACUCUAGAUAAUACCUAGAGAUAGUGGACGUUACUCGCAGAAUAAGCACCGGCUAACUCUGUGCCAGCAGCCGCGGUAAU
rnacentral:rRNA from 1 species